AAGAAAGUGGCAGAGUGGUGGUGUGAAUGGCUUGAAACCAUUAAACGGGGGUUCGAUUCCCUCCUUUCUCG
rnacentral:tRNA from 1 species